GAUGAAGAACGCAGCGAAAUGCGAUAAGUAGUGUGAAUUGCAGAAUUCAGUGAAUCAUCGAAUCUUUGAACGCACAUUGCGCCCUUUGGUAUUCCUUAGGGCAUGCCUGUUCGAGCGUCUUUUAAACCUUCAAGCUAAGCUUGGUGUUGGGUGACUGUCCGCUUCACGGCGGACUCGCCUCAAAAUUAUUGGCGGCCGGUACAUUGGCUUCGAGCGCAGCAGAAACGCGAACUCGGGCCCGUCGUAUUGGCUCCCAGAAGCUAUCUUCACAAUUUUGACCUCGGAUCAGGUAGGGAUACCCGCUGAACUUAAGCAUAUCAAUAAGCGGAGGA
rnacentral:misc_RNA from 1 species